rnacentral:rRNA from 1 species
UACGUAGGGUGCAAGCGUUGUCCGGAAUUAUUGGGCGUAAAGAGCUCGUAGGCGGUCUGUCGCGUCGGCUGUGAAAACCCGGGGCUCAACCCCGGGCCUGCAGUCGAUACGGGCAGACUAGAGUGCGGUAGGGGAGACUGGAAUUCCUGGUGUAGCGGUGAAAUGCGCAGAUAUCAGGAGGAACACCGGUGGCGAAGGCGGGUCUCUGGGCCGUAACUGACGCUGAGAAGCGAAAGCAUGGGGAGCGAACAGG